CGGCCUUCUGGACAAUACUGACGCUGAGAUGCGAAGCGUGGGAGCAAACAGGAUUAGAUACCUGGUAGUCCACGCUGUAAACGAUGUCGAUUUGGAGUUUGGGGGCAUGACCCUUGGGCUCCGGAGCUAACGCGUUAAAUCGACCGCUGGGGAGUACGGCCGCAAGGUUAAAACUCAAAUGAAUUGACGGGGGCCCGCACAAGCGGUGGAGCAUGUGGUUUAAUUCGAUGCAACGCGAAGAACCUUACCUGGUCUUGACAUCCAUAGAAUCUUUCAGAGAUGAGAGAGUGCCUUCGGGAGCUAUGAGACAGGUGCUGCAUGGCUGUCGUCAGCUCGUGUUGUGAAAUGUUGGGUUAAGUCCCGCAACGAGCGCAACCCCUAUCCUUUGUUGCCAGCACGUAAUGGUGGGAACUCAAAGGAGACUGCCGUUGAUAAAGCGGAGGAAGGUGGGGACGACGUCAAGUCAUCAUGGCCCUUACGACCAGGGCUACACACGUGCUACAAUGGCGUAUACAAAGGGAUGCGAAGGUGCGAACUGGAGCGGACCUCACAAAGUACGUCUAAGUCCGGAUUGGAGUCUGCAACUCGACUCCAUGAAGUCGGAAUCGCUAGUAAUCGUGAAUCAGAAUGUCACGGUGAAUACGUUCCCGGGCCUUGUACACACCGCCCGUCACACCAUGGGAGUGGGUUGCACCAGAAGUAGAUAGCUUAACCUUCGGGAGGGCGUUUACCACGGUGUGGUUCAUGACUGGGGUGAAGUCGUAACAAGGUAACCA
rnacentral:rRNA from 1 species